rnacentral:rRNA from 1 species
UACGAGGGGGGCAAGCGUUGUCCGGAUUUAUUGGGCGUAAAGAGCGUGUAGGCGGUUUGGUAGGUCCGCUGUGAAAACUCGAGGCUCAACCUCGAGACGCCGGUGGAAACCAUCAGACUAGAGUCCGGAAGAGGAGAGUGGAAUUCCUGGUGUAGCGGUGAAAUGCGCAGAUAUCAGGAGGAACACCGGUGGCGAAGGCGGUUCUCUGGGCAUGUCCUGACGCUGAGGAGCGAAAGUGUGGGGAGCGAACGGG